rnacentral:rRNA from 1 species
CGUUGUUCGGAAUCACUGGGCUUAAAGGGCGCGUAGGCGGGUGCUCAAGUCCGGGGGGAAAUCCUCCAGCUCAACUGGAGAACUGCCUCGGAUACUGGGUGCCUCGAGGGUGGUAGGGGUAUGCGGAACUAUCGGUGGAGCGGUGAAAUGCGUUGAUAUCGAUAGGAACUCCGGUGGCGAAGGCGGCAUACUGGACCACAUCUGACGCUGAGGCGCGAAAGCCAGGGGAGCAAACGGG